GACGAACGCUGGCGGCGUGCUUAACACAUGCAAGUCGAACGGAAAGGCCCUGCUUUUGUGGGGGGCUCGAGUGGCGAACGGGUGAGUAACACGUGAGUAACCUGCCCUGGCCUUUGGGUUAACUUCAGGAAACGGGGGCGAAUACCGGAUAGGAGCUCCUGCGGCUGGGGGGGGGUGGGAAAGUUUCGGGGGUUGGGGAGGGGCUGGCGGCUUUUCAGGUUGUUGGUGGGGUAGUGGCUUACCAAGGCUUUGACGGGUAGCCGGCCUGAGAGGGUGACCGGCCACAUUGGGACUGAGAUACGGCCCAGACUCCUACGGGAGGCAGCAGUGGGGAAUAUUGCACAAUGGGCGGAAGCCUGAUGCAGCAACGCCGCGUGCGGGAUGACGGCCUUCGGGUUGUAAACCGCUUUCGCCUGUGACGAAGCGUGAGUGACGGUAAUGGGUAAAGAAGCACCGGCUAACUACGUG
rnacentral:rRNA from 1 species